rnacentral:rRNA from 1 species
CCUACGGGAGGCAGCAGUGAGGAAUAUUGGUCAAUGGACGAGACUCUGAACCAGCAAAGUAGCGUGAAGGAUGACUGCUCUAUGGGUUGUAAACUUCUUUUAUAUGGGAAUAAAACAGGGUAUGCAUACCCUCUUGUAUGUAUCAUAUGAAUAAGGCUCGGCUAACUCCGUGCAAGCAGCCGCGGUAAUACGGAGGAUCUGAGUGUUAUCCGGAUUUAUUGGGUUUAAAGGGAGCGUAGGUGGAUUGUUAAGUUAGUUGUGAAAGUUUUCGGCUCAACCGUAAAAUUGCAGUUGAAACUGGAAGGCUUGAGUACAGUAGAGGUGGGCGGAAUUCGUGGUGUAGCGGUGAAAUGCUUAGAUAUCACGAAGAACUCCGAUUGCGAAGGCAGCUCACUGGACUGCAACUGACACUGAUGCUCGAAAGUGUGGGUAUCAAACAGGAUUAGAUACCCGGGUAGUC